rnacentral:rRNA from 1 species
AUGGAUCCGGCGCUGCUGGACAACAUCAUCGCCAGGCUGCUGGAGGUGAAGAGCCUCAAGCCCGGGAAGAACGCGCAGCUGUCCGAGUCGGAGAUCAAGCAGCUCUGCGCCGCCUCCAAGGAGAUCUUCCUCGCGCAGCCCAACCUCCUGGAGCUCGAGGCCCCCAUCAAAAUCUGCGGUGAUGUCCAUGGCCAAUAUUCUGAUCUCCUGAGGCUCUUUGAAUAUGGUGGAUAUCCUCCUCAGUCGAACUAUCUUUUCUUGGGCGAUUACGUGGACCGAGGAAAGCAGAGCCUUGAGACAAUAUGCCUUCUUUUGGCUUAUAAGGUCAAGUACCCUGAGAACUUCUUUCUUCUAAGGGGAAACCAUGAGUGUGCAUCAGUAAACCGCAUCUAUGGAUUCUAUGAUGAGUGCAAGCGCAGAUUCAGUGUGAAACUCUGGAAAACAUUUACAGACUGUUUUAACUGCUUACCGGUAUCAGCGUUGAUAGAUGAAAAGAUUUUAUGUAUGCAUGGAGGUCUUUCCCCAGAGUUGAACAAGCUGGAUCAAAUACUCAACCUCAAUCGCCCCACGGAUGUGCCUGAUACUGGGUUACUUUGUGAUCUUCUUUGGUCCGAUCCUUCGAAUGAAGCACAAGGGUGGGCUAUGAAUGAUCGAGGUGUCUCAUAUACAUUUGGACCUGAUAAAGUGGCUGAAUUUCUUGAGAAGCAUGAUUUAGACCUCAUCUGCCGAGCCCAUCAGGUCGUUGAGGAUGGCUACGAGUUCUUUGCUGAUCGUCAGCUAGUAACAAUAUUUUCGGCACCUAAUUACUGUGGAGAAUUCGAUAAUGCUGGUGCCAUGAUGAGUGUAGACGAGACGCUGAUGUGCUCCUUCCAAAUACUCAAACCUGCAAGGAAAAUGUUGCCUGGUUCAACUAAUAACAAGUCUGGCUUCAAGUCAAUGAGAGGAUGGUGA